GGGGCAGGCGAUGCCAGUGCCACCCACAGAGCGACAGUGUUCGGGGGCUGCGGAUCCUUCGGAGACAGUUUGUAGCAUCCAGGAGCUAUUUUCCUCAGGCACUUGGAGGAAAUGCAAGGCACUUUUGAGGCACUGGAUCUAUCCAUGUAACUAUGAGCAGAGGCAGAGAUGUUCCUACCAAGAACCUUUCCAGUAAUGCUGCCACAGUGAAUGCUGAUGCUUAAACUAAGCUCCAAUAGACAUUUUAAAUCCAGA